rnacentral:rRNA from 1 species
AUGCGGCCAUACCAUGCUGAAUAUACCAGGUUCUCGUUAGAUCACCGAAGUCAAGCAUCAUUGGGCGCGGUCAGUACUUGGGGGUGACCACCUGGGAACACUGCGUUG